AGAAUACUGGGCAUCAAGAGGAGCUUGUGUGCCCCUUAUCACCCACAAACCAAUGGCCUGGUGGAAAAAAAUUAACGGAACAGUGCAGAGGUCCAAUUUAUUAUUAUUAUUAUUAUUAUUAUUUUUAUUUAUGUUGUUGGAAACAAAGACAAAAUAAAUUGUUUUAACAAUAAAUGUUUUACACCCAAUUUGAAAGUAUGUGAAUUUGGGUAACAUUAAAGCCAUUCUGUGUGAAACAGUAAUGAUUGGGUUGACAGUAAUGAAUUGGAGUAAUUGAAUGAUUUUUUAAAAGAGCAUUUAUGCGGAGCCGAGGCUGUGCAGUCGGAAGGUGGACCUCUGAGACGCUUCCUCACCUAGUGCAAGCAGAUGGAAUGACAUGAGGUGUAUUUGCUCUGAAAUUUGCUGAAAAUGUCCUUAAUGAAAAGACAGCUGAUGGCAUUCACUUCCCAUCUAGUACCAAUGACCUGGAAAAAUACAGAAAGGAGAUAGCACUCACUCUCCUUGAAAAGACAGAUGAUCUGUCUGACCUGUGCCACUUCUGUGGCAUGAAAGAUGGCAACAAGCCUCAGAAGAAGGCGUCGCUCCAGACACGUUGCUCACCAUCAACUGGGUAAGGCGCAUCCUUAGUGAGUCAAUAGACGAGAAUGAGCAGAG